CCUACGGGUGGCAGCAGUGGGGAAUAUUGCACAAUGGGGGAAACCCUGAUGCAGCGAAGCCGCGUGAGUGAAGAAGUAUUUAGGUAUGUAAAGCUCUGUCAGCAGGGAAGAAAAUGACGGUAGUUGACCAAGAAGCCCCGGCUAACUAAGGGCCAGCAGCCGCGGUAAUACGGAGGGGGCAAGCGUUAUCCGGAUUUACUGGGUGUAAAGGGGGCGUAGACGGGAGGGGAAGUCUGGAGUGAAAGGCGGGGGCUCAACCCCCGGACUGCUCUGGAAACUGCCAGGCUGGAGUGCAGGAGAGGUAAGUGGAAUGCCUAGUGUAGCGGUGAAAUGCGUAGAUAUUAGGAGGAACACCAGUGGCGAAGGCGGCUUACUGGACUGUAACUGACGUUGAGGCUCGAAAGCGUGGGGAGCAAACAGGAUUAGAUACCCGUGUAGUC
rnacentral:rRNA from 1 species